UCUUCGAUCCCUGCUACCCCCGCCUCUUCGAUGGCGCAUCCGUUUCGAUCCCGGUUGCUCCCCUAUCUCUCCUCUCCUCUCCUCUCCUCUCCGACCCUUUCCUUCGAUCCCCUUCGUCCCCUCGACCUCUCCCCUCCCCCGAAACCCUAGCUCUCUCGAUCGUGGGGGGUGGGGUGCAGCCAUGAAGCUUGCGGGGCUCAGAUCGGAAUCGUUCCUUUGCCCCCGCCUCUUCGAUCGCUCCCCGAUUCCCACCGCUUCGAUCCCUGCCCCGCCUCUUCUAACCCUCCCCUGCAACCGCCGCUUCGAUCCCUCCUCCACCUCUUCAAUCCUUCCUCUGCCUCUUCGAUCUCUCUCUACGCUUCAUAUAUAAGUUGAAUUCUUGCAGGCUUCCGUGUCGAUCCCUCCUCUCGCACACCCCUCUCCCCGCCUCCUUCCCCUGUCGCCCCGCAUGGCGCGGAGGUCCUGCGGAUCCGCGCCGAACUCUCUCAUAUCUCUUUCCGAUCUGCAAGGAUCUUCUUCUCCUCCUCCCCCUCGCCAUCAUGCGAUCGAUCGGAGGAGCUUGCAGGCCCCUGCGCCCUCUCCCCAGCGCUCGCGCCCUAUUCGAUGAAAUGCCGAGGCGAUUGCAGGGCGCUUCGCGGGCAUCGGAGAAGUAGGGCGCGGUGUUGGGAUGGUGAUAAAUAUUAUUCCUUUACAUUUAUAUGUCUGAUCAUGUAAAUAGAGGUAUAAAUUAGCAACUCUAGGUAAAACUCUUUCCUUUCCCCUUUCCUGCAGCAUGCUUUAAAACAAAAGGAGAAAAAAAAGUGCCCUAGAAUCCACAGGCUCCUCCUUUCUCCUUUCCUUCAGCAUGGUUAAGUGCAACGGUUUGAGGAGGGGCCUUUUCCAAUUUCAGAUUUGGGGUCCCAAAGAAGUCCAGACAAAAGUAAACAGGGGGGGAAGAACUGUAGUUCGGUCCUGUGCAGUUUAUAGCAAUGUUUUGUUUGUUAUGGGUUAUUUUGCUUGCACUUGAACGUGAUAAGAAUUUGAACCUUCUAUUCCCCGAGACUUUGUCUUCCCCGUUUUCCUCCCGUGCGAUGAUGACUUUCCCAAAAUCAGAUGAUCGCUAUAAUUGAGAAAGGCAUGUGUUUUCUUGAUUGGUAAUGAGAGCACUUUGGAUGGCUUACUUCUUAAGCAACCAGUUGUUCUCAUUUGUGCUAAGAAUGGUUUCGGCGUUCGCAUGGUUUCUAGCUCGGUUGGCACUAUUAAUCAGGAAGACUUCGCUGCCAAUCUGAUAAUGCUUGAUAACUAGGGGUGUCUGAGCAAAAAUUAUUUAUUUAUUUCCAUACCUACUCAUGUUUGCUGCUCCUCUUUACUCUUCUCUUCUUUGUAAACAUUGGUUUCAUGUUUUUUUAAACUAUUGGGAUUUCCCCAAAUUGCAUCUUUGGCUUUGAUUUGUCAAAUCUCUUUGUUUUCGACUUGCUUUUACCUGCAUUUGAUUUCUUUUUCCCUUUUUUUUUUUUAGCAACCUUUCAAGACUUGGUUAUUUUACAUCAUUAUUUUGAGGUGUUCUGUAGAAAAAACUCUAUUCUUUUGCUUUUCCUUCGCCCUGAUUUUCGAAGCAAAAAAAAUUAUAUGCCGUGGAAUCCGCAAGUCCCUGUUUUCGAUUUCUGCAGGUUGCCUAUGCCUUCCUGCUGGCUGUCGGCUCUUAAUACUACUCGAAGAGUGUCCUGGAUAUAUUCAUGAGUUGUUACAAAACAAUGCUAUAUUUCUUGAUAACCUGUAUCGCCAUAUCUCAUGAUAUUACUGCUAUAAUGAAGCACUCUGAUAUGCCCACGACCUGUUCGUAGAAAUGCUUCUUCCAAUCAUAUUUCUAACAUAAGAGGAUUUCACUCUCAGUAAUGGAGCACCUACACAACCCCAAACUGUCCCCAUGGAGUUGGUUCAUCCUACUUUCUUACAAGUAGCUGCAGCUAUCUACCAGGAUACACCGAAUUUCCGCCGUUACUUUAACUGUUGAAAUACGGAUAUCUACCAACUUAAGGUACCGACGACUUCUGCUUAUUAUUUCCGCUUCCCCCAGCCUUUUUUUGAGCAUUGUUUCUCAAUCCUGUUUUUUCUUACUUCAACUUAGUCUUAUUGCUGUGUUUUCACUCCCUUGAAUUGCAACUUUUCAAGAAUGUAUAUACUGUUAUAAAUUUGUGGAAUUCUAAUAUCAGUAUUUUAAUUAUUUAUCUUGCAGCUAUCAUUUCUCUUU